rnacentral:lncRNA from 1 species
AAAUCAAUAUAAUGCAAAAUUCAGCUUAAGGCUCCAAACUGACUCAAAUUCAAACCUUCUAACCUACAAUUUAGUGAAAGGAUAUGAUCCUCGAGCUCUCCUCCACCAAAUAAUCCUCGACUAAGACCCAAUUCAGGGAUUAUAAGCUCCAAAUUUCCACAAUUCCUGCAGUAGAUGCUGCCACUGCAGCUAUUGCAGAGGCUGCUGCUGUUGUUGCAGCCUGCUGCUGGUGAUUUGUUGGUUUAAAUUAGAGGUUUUCAGUGUUCUGAAGCCAAGGAUCACUGUGGUUACAUUCCCCUUUCCUCUUUUGGGCUGUACUCCUUCCUGCGAGUCCUAGGAAUUGCAGCAACAUCAACAUCAACCUCAACAUUCUACAGGAGCAUAAUUUCAGCAGCCUAUAGCUGAGUUGAAGAUAGAAUUUUGAGAGAUUUCGAAAUCCAAAUUGCUGGAGAAUUGAUUGCUCGCAUUCUUGGUGAAGAGGUGAACAUGAGGAGUGUUUUAAUUCAGCAAAUGACUUGGUAAGUUGUGUUUAAUUGCCAAAAUGGUGAAGGUCGCUGAAAUAGAAGUUUUAUACUGAUUUUGAGCAAGCUGAAUUCUUGAUGGAAUUUCUUUUAAUUUGCCUAUGUAGCUAAGAUUUUGAAAGGUUGCUAGUGAUCUUACCUUUAUCUAGAGUUGGUACGAACUUUGCUUGGACUGUUUUGAAGGUUAGGCUUUUCUGAAUUUUAGUUUUCAUUCAGGCCUUCAACUAAAAAUCAGAUUUUUUGUUGAAGCUGAUUUCUUGAGUCUUACUCCAUCUUCGAGAUGAAAUUUUGUGGUAAUUAAUAGGAUUUUCCUGUAGUUUAGGGAUCAGAGAAUACCCUUGAACUUGUCCCAACAUCUCUCUUUGGCUUGGAUCUUCUCUGUGGAUCAGGAACAACAGUAACAAAAUCCAACUAUUUCUAAAAUUUCAGCACAAAAUCAAUUUCAGCAAUUAAGCUUCAACUAACUUGAAAUUCCAGUCAGUAGUACAUAUAAACUGAGCUCCACUACUAUUCCUUCACUACCACCAGUCCGAAUUAAUAGGAAAGUGAGAAAAAAUCGAACAAACCCCUGCUAGAUUUAAUCGAAUCAAAAAAUAAUUCGAAAAUCUAAUGAAAACCAAUUUGGUUUGAAGAAAGGUGAAAUUCAGCGAUGAUCGCCUCAAAUCAGCUGACAAUACUUAAUUCAUAGGUUCCUCAUUUCCUCA